rnacentral:rRNA from 1 species
GACGAACGCUGGCGGCGUGCUUAACACAUGCAAGUCGAACGGAAAGGCCCUGCUUUUGUGGGGUGCUCGAGUGGCGAACGGGUGAGUAACACGUGAGUAACCUGCCCUUGACUUUGGGAUAACCUCAGGAAACUGGGGCUAAUACCGGAUAGGAGCUCCUGCUGCAUGGUGGGGGUUGGAAAGUUUCGGCGGUUGGGGAUGGACUCGCGGCUUAUCAGCUUGUUGGUGGGGUAGUGGCUUACCAAGGCUUUGACGGGUAGCCGGCCUGAGAGGGUGACCGGCCACAUUGGGACUGAGAUACGGCCCAGACUCCUACGGGAGGCAGCAGUGGGGAAUAUUGCACAAUGGGCGGAAGCCUGAUGCAGCAACGCCGCGUGCGGGAUGACGGCCUUCGGGUUGUAAACCGCUUUCGCCUGUGACGAAGCGUGAGUGACGGUAAUGGGUAAAGAAGCACCGGCUAACUACGUGCCAGCAGCCGCGGUGAUACGUAGGGUGCGAGCGUUGUCCGGAUUUAUUGGGCGUAAAGGGCUCGUAGGUGGUUGAUCGCGUCGGAAGUGUAAUCUUGGGGCUUAACCCUGAGCGUGCUUUCGAUACGGGUUGACUUGAGGAAGGUAGGGGAGAAUGGAAUUCCUGGUGGAGCGGUGGAAUGCGCAGAUAUCAGGAGGAACACCAGUGGCGAAGGCGGUUCUCUGGGCCUUUCCUGACGCUGAGGAGCGAAAGCGUGGGGAGCGAACAGGCUUAGAUACCCUGGUAGUCCACGCUGUAAACGGUGGGUACUAGGUGUGGGGUCCAUUCCACGGGUUCCGUGCCGUAGCUAACGCUUUAAGUACCCCGCCUGGGGAGUACGGCCGCAAGGCUAAAACUCAAAGGAAUUGACGGGGCCCCGCACAAGCGGCGGAGCAUGCGGAUUAAUUCGAUGCAACGCGUAGAACCUUACCUGGGUUUGACAUGGAUCGGGAGUGCUCAGAGAUGGGUGUGCCUCUUUUGGGGUCGGUUCACAGGUGGUGCAUGCCUGUCGUCAGCUCGUGUCGUGAGAUGUUGGGUUAAGUCCCGCAACGAGCGCAACCCUUGUUCACUGUUGCCAGCACGUUAUGGUGGGGACUCAGUGGAGACCGCCGGGGUCAACUCGGAGGAAGGUGGGGAUGACGUCAAGUCCUCAUGCCCCUUAUGUCCAGGGCUUCACGCAUGCUACAAUGGCUGGUACAGAGAGUGGCGAGCCUGUGAGGGUGAGCGAAUCUCGGAAAGCCGGUCUCAGUUCGGAUUGGGGUCUGCAACUCGACCUCAUGAAGUCGGAGUCACUAGUAAUCGCAGAUCAGCAACGCUGCGGUGAAUACGUUCCCGGGGCU